GCCUUCGUGGCUUAGUGGUAGAGCAUCUCACUCGUAAUGAGAGGAUCCCUGGUUCGAAUCCAGGCUGAGGCA
rnacentral:tRNA from 1 species